rnacentral:rRNA from 1 species
AGUCACUGACAUUAGAUACCCCGGUAGUCCCAGCCGUAAACAAUGUGCGUUAGGUGUGUCGGUAACCACGUGUUACUGAUGCGCCGAAGAGAAAUCGUGAAACGCACCACCUGGGAAGUACGGUCGCAAGGCUGAAACUUAAAGGAAUUGGCGGGGGAGCACCACAACAGGUGGAGCCUGCGGUUUAAUUGGAUUCAACGCCGGACAUCUCACCGGAUAAGACAGCUGAAUGAUUGUCAAUCUGAAGGUUUUACAUGACUAGCUG